rnacentral:rRNA from 1 species
UACAGAGGUCUCAAGCGUUUGUUCGGAUUCAUUGGGCGUAAAGGGUGUGUAGGUGGCGCCGUAAGUCGGGUGUGAAAUUUUAGAGCUUAACUCUGAAACUGCAUUCGAUACUGCGGUGCUUGAGGACUGGAGAGGAGACUGGAAUUUACGGUGUAGCAGUGAAAUGCGUAGAUAUCGUAAGGAAGACCAGUGGCGGAAGGCGGGUCUCUGGACAGUUCCUGACACUGAGACACGAAGGCCCAGGGGAGCAAAACGGG